rnacentral:rRNA from 1 species
AACGAACGCUGGCGGCAUGCCUAACACAUGCAAGUCGAACGAGACCUUCGGGUCUAGUGGCGCACGGGUGCGUAACGCGUGGGAACCUGCCCUUAGGUUCGGAAUAACUCAGAGAAAUUUGAGCUAAUACCGGAUAAUGUCUUCGGACCAAAGAUUUAUCGCCUUUGGAUGGGCCCGCGUUGGAUUAGCUAGUUGGUGGGGUAAAGGCCUACCAAGGCGACGAUCCAUAGCUGGUCUGAGAGGAUGAUCAGCCACACUGGGACUGAGACACGGCCCAGACUCCUACGGGAGGCAGCAGUGGGGAAUAUUGGACAAUGGGCGAAAGCCUGAUCCAGCAAUGCCGCGUGAGUGAUGAAGGCCUUAGGGUUGUAAAGCUCUUUUACCAGGGAUGAUAAUGACAGUACCUGGAGAAUAAGCUCCGGCUAACUCCGUGCCAGCCGCCGCUGUAA